rnacentral:tRNA from 1 species
GGUGGCUCAGUGGUAGAGCGCUUGCCUAGCACGCAUGAGGCCCUGGGUUCCAAUCCUCAGCACCA